ACAUGUCAGCCACGUGGGGUGGGACCCCCAGAAUGGAUUUGACGUAAACAACCUGGACCCGGAUCUGCGGAGCCUGUUCUCUAGGGCGGGAAUCAGUGAGGCCCAGCUCACUGAUGCUGAGACCUCCAAACUUAUCUAUGACUUCAUUGAGGAUCAGGGCGGGCUGGAAGCUGUGCGGCAGGAGAUGAGGCGCCAGGAGCCGCUUCCACCACCCCCACCGCCAUCCCGAGGAGGGAACCAGCCCCCCCGGCCCCCAACUGUGGGGAGUAACAAGGGUCGUUCUGGUCCACUGCCCCCUGUACCUUUGGGAGGUGUGCCACCGCCACCACCACCAACUCCUCGGGGACCCCCACCUCCGGGCCGAGGGG